AAAAUUUUCAUAACCCAAAAUUUUCAUACAACUUGAAUUGUUACCCAAAAAAAAGAAAGAAAAGAAAUGGCAAACAGAAAUUAAAAAACACAGAGACUAAUUAUUCUAGAGAGAGGAGGGAGACUCGAGAAAUUCAUGAAUUAGGUCGACGCUCCUUCAUCGCAAUUUAGGAUUCGCAAUUCAGGAUUCGCAAUCGCAGUCACAUUUCUAGGGUUUACAGUAUCUGCAAUUCGCAAGUGAAGUGUUUAGAAGGUCUGCAACAUCACCACGAAAAAGGAAGAGGUCAUCCCAUUCAAACUGUAUUCCCGUACAUCAGAUUCAAAAACUCUCGCAAGAUUAGAGGAAGAGAGGGACUCAGCUUGAUCAAAUCUAGAGAGUGAUUCUGAAUUAACUAAGAGAGUGUUUCUUAGGGUUAAUUGGAUCUGGAGAGCGGGAUUCCCAAUUAACUAGAGUUGGUUUUUUAGGGUUCAAAGUUCGUAAUACGGAAAUCGCAACUCACCGGCAAAGAGUUUUUUUUUAGAGUUCAUCGAAUUUCUUGCAAGUUACCGGAUUUAUGGAUUGCUGGAUCUCUUGAUACAAGAGGGGAGACAAGGUAUUGCUUCAUGUUAAGCUAUUCAAGCUUCAAGUUGAGCACUGUACUCGCUAACCCUACAAUCUAACCUCUAAGAAACAUGUAUAGUUCAAUUAACUUCUGAUGAAGGCAUCUGUAAAUUGUUGGUGGAGUCACGCGGCUAUGUCUGCGAGGAGCACACAGUGACAACCAAAGAUGGUUAUAUUCUCAGCUUGCAACGAAUUCCAACAGGCUUGACAAACUAUACACUUGAAGACCGCAAGCCACCAGUGCUUUUGCAACAUGGGGUUUUAAUGGUUUCUUCAUUGAUCUCAUUGCAGCUUUACCUCUUCCUCUGAUUGUGAUAUGGUUUAUAAUUCCAGCAAUUAAGCUGUCUAAAUCAAGAAGCACCUAUAAUGCACUCCAAUUGAUUGUUUUCUUCCAAUAUAUUCCACGGUUUUAUCUGAUAUUCCCGCUGAGUGCUGAGAUUAUAAAGUCUGCUAGUGUUGUCACAAAAACAUCUUGGGCAGGAGCUGCUUAUAAUCUCAUGUUCUACAUGUUGGCUAGUCAUGAGUAUGGUGAGCUAAAUGGAGAAUAAAAUGUAGAUCUAACAAAUGAGACGGUGGAGGCUCUUGUUUGUUUUUGAGUUAUUUUAUAAUUUAGAGUAAUGUUGAAUUUGUUUAUAUGGAUUUUUAUUUUAUGCAUUAAAAACACUAAAUUAAUUAGUGAACGACUAUUUUGUAAUGCAUGUGUCCUAUGGGCACUAAUAUUGUAAUAUUACUCUUUAAGUCAAUAAAAAUAUUUUAUUAUUGA